AUUGAACGCUGGCGGCAUGCCUUACACAUGCAAGUCGAACGGUAACAGGUCUUCGGAUGCUGACGAGUGGCGAACGGGUGAGUAAUACAUCGGAACGUGCCUAGUAGUGGGGGAUAACUACUCGAAAGAGUGGCUAAUACCGCAUGAGAUCUACGGAUGAAAGCAGGGGACCGCAAGACCUUGUGCUACUAGAGCGGCCGAUGGCAGAUUAGGUAGUUGGUGGGAUAAAAGCUUACCAAGCCGACGAUCUGUAGCUGGUCUGAGAGGACGACCAGCCACACUGGGACUGAGACACGGCCCAGACUCCUACGGGAGGCAGCAGUGGGGAAUUUUGGACAAUGGGCGCAAGCCUGAUCCAGCAAUGCCGCGUGCAGGAUGAAGGCCUUCGGGUUGUAAACUGCUUUUGUACGGAACGAAAAGCCCUGGGUUAAUACCCUGGGGUCAUGACGGUACCGUAAGAAUAAGCACCGGCUAACUACGUGCCAGCCGCCGCAGUAAUAC
rnacentral:rRNA from 1 species